rnacentral:misc_RNA from 1 species
AAAAUGCAGCGUUUAAUUUAACUG